UUUUUUUUAAAAAUGAACGUAUAAAAGAGAUCGCCGUACGCGUAAAAAAGAUAUAUCGUGACAUCAUUUGAGUUCAUUGAACUCAAAGAAUUAGAGGAAACUAAUUACCUCAGAAUUUUUAAGUUGAUAAAUCAAUUUCUUUCAGCCAGAAACACUUAAAUAUAACAAAAAAUGAACUCAAACUUUGUCAUUUUUUGUUGUUGUUGUUAUAUUUAAGUGUAUUUGGCUUAAAGAAAUCGAUUUAUCGAUUGAAUUAGUUUCCUCAGAUUUUUGAGUUAAAUGAACUUAUUCGGUUUUACAGUGCGUGAUGCGACCGGGAGUCGAAUGAAAACCAUAAAAUUGAGACAAAUUACAAUCGAUUUUUUUUUUUUGGCCCAGACACUCAGAACACAAUAAAAAAAACGAAAAAAAAAAAAAAAAAAAGGUUUUCAUUUGACUCAGGCUUGUAAUCAUAUAUCCGUGAAUAAAAUGAAGUACAUGUAUUUUAAAUGUACGUCGCAGGUGCUUCAAUAGUGAACACCAUCCAGAGAUAUGGAUAAGGGUCUGGAUAAGGGUCUCUGCCAAAUGCCAUAAAUGUAAAUGUAAAUAAAUAGAAGUAAAUUAUUUCUUUCUAGAAAAGAAGAAGAACGAAUAAGCUUUUUAUUUUUCUUUCUCCUCCUAUCUGGAGAAGCACACGCUGAAGAUCCUGCCACCUGACACUAAAUUUAGUUUUCAGCACUCGUUCCACAUGACGACAAACAAUCGGUCUGUUAAAAAACAGGCGUUUUGUCGAUAUUUGUGCGUCGUUCGAAGUGAAUCUUCACAUAAAGUCCCUUAAAUUGAUACCUGCUUUCUAAUGAUAAGUUUAGUAAGGCACGGGUCUGGACAUGUUCUCACUCUCGUGUCCACUGGCGUGAUGGCGUGCUGGCCUGUACGUGUACCAUCUUGUCCGUGUGUGUGUGUGUGUGUGUGUGUGAGAGUGUGUCACUGACAUUUCGUAAUUCAUUUCAUAAUUCAUCUGGAAGGUCAUUUUUAAGCCUUUCCCACUUUCGAUAUUCACCUUUGUAUGUUUUUUUUCUUUCUCUCAGGACUCUGAAGCGUCUGUGGUUUUGUCUCCGACUCCAUUGGCAUGCGCUCAUUUGGCGACGAAAAUGUUAUCGUUACCAUAGCAUAACAUAAUCUUUCUACCUAAAGUAGCUGUGUUGGUGUGUGUGUGUGUGUGUAAGAUUUCUACUCUUCUUCCUGUAUUGAGAAAAGAACAGAAAACACUUAGAUCGAAGGUCUAAGGGCAGUUCUUGAUUGCUCAGAAGGUGUUGAUUAAUUCUCUAUAACAGCAGCUCUGACAGUAGCGCAGCUGCACAUCGCAGGUUCAUAUCAAUGCGCUCGUUCUCAUACGUUAUCCUUUCUGUAGGAACAUUUUAGGGAAAUCAUUUUUUUAAAACCGCGUGAUUGUUGAUAUGGUGAAAUUUUCAGUGAGGAGACGUUUAUUUAGGAUUUAUGGAAGUGUCAGGAAUUUAUUGGUUUCUUGGUUUUUUUUGUCUGUUGUCUGUUGUUGUUUGUUUGCUUGUUUUUUAUUUGUCAUGAGGCUGGUGAGGGAAUGACUUGAUGUGACAAUUCAUGAUAUGACUUUUUAAUCCAUUUAAUGGGUUGAAUGUCACUUCGAACGGAUUAAAACGUGUUGUUUUGUGAUGUGCCAUUCUUCAUUUAAAAAAAUAAAUUAAAAUGUUAGCAUUAGAAAUUGCUGCGGUAUAAAAGGAAUAAAACAGUCCGUUCUAGAAAAAUAACCCGCUUCAGGGGGGUUACAGUAACAACGAGGGUUCAUUUUCCUCUAGUCAUGUCCUUUAUAUAUAUAUAUAUAUAUAUAUA
ensembl:lncRNA